GGGUUGUGAGGUUAAGCGACUAAGCGUACACGGUGGAUGCCCUGGCAGUCAGAGGCGAUGAAGGACGUGCUAAUCUGCGAUAAGCGUCGGUAAGGUGAUAUGAACCGUUAUAACCGGCGAUUUCCGAAUGGGGAAACCCAGUGUGUUUCGACACACUAUCAUUAACUGAAUCCAUAGGUUAAUGAGGCGAACCGGGGGAACUGAAACAUCUAAGUACCCCGAGGAAAAGAAAUCAACCGAGAUUCCCCCAGUAGCGGCGAGCGAACGGGGAGCAGCCCAGAGCCUGAAUCAGUGUGUGUGUUAGUGGAAGCGUCUGGAAAGGCGCGCGAUACAGGGUGACAGCCCCGUACACAAAAAUGCACAUAUUGUGAGCUCGAUGAGUAGGGCGGGACACGNNCCAUCCUCCAAGGCUAAAUACUCCUGACUGACCGAUAGUGAACCAGUACCGUGAGGGAAAGGCGAAAAGAACCCCGGCGAGGGGAGUGAAAAAGAACCUGAAACCGUGUACGUACAAGCAGUGGGAGCACGCUUAGGCGUGUGACUGCGUACCUUUUGUAUAAUGGGUCAGCGACUUAUAUUCUGUAGCAAGGUUAACCGAAUAGGGGAGCCGAAGGGAAACCGAGUCUUAACUGGGCGUUAAGUUGCAGGGUAUAGACCCGAAACCCGGUGAUCUAGCCAUGGGCAGGUUGAAGGUUGGGUAACACUAACUGGAGGACCGAACCGACUAAUGUUGAAAAAUUAGCGGAUGACUUGUGGCUGGGGGUGAAAGGCCAAUCAAACCGGGAGAUAGCUGGUUCUCCCCGAAAGCUAUUUAGGUAGCGCCUCGUGAAUUCAUCUCCGGGGGUAGAGCACUGUUUCGGCAAGGGGGUCAUCCCGACUUACCAACCCGAUGCAAACUGCGAAUACCGGAGAAUGUUAUCACGGGAGACACACGGCGGGUGCUAACGUCCGUCGUGAAGAGGGAAACAACCCAGACCGCCAGCUAAGGUCCCAAAGUCAUGGUUAAGUGGGAAACGAUGUGGGAAGGCCCAGACAGCCAGGAUGUUGGCUUAGAAGCAGCCAUCAUUUAAAGAAAGCGUAAUAGCUCACUGGUCGAGUCGGCCUGCGCGGAAGAUGUAACGGGGCUAAACCAUGCACCGAAGCUGCGGCAGCGACGCUUAUGCGUUGUUGGGUAGGGGAGCGUUCUGUAAGCCUGCGAAGGUGUGCUGUGAGGCAUGCUGGAGGUAUCAGAAGUGCGAAUGCUGACAUAAGUAACGAUAAAGCGGGUGAAAAGCCCGCUCGCCGGAAGACCAAGGGUUCCUGUCCAACGUUAAUCGGGGCAGGGUGAGUCGACCCCUAAGGCGAGGCCGAAAGGCGUAGUCGAUGGGAAACAGGUUAAUAUUCCUGUACUUGGUGUUACUGCGAAGGGGGGACGGAGAAGGCUAUGUUGGCCGGGCGACGGUUGUCCCGGUUUAAGCGUGUAGGCUGGUUUUCCAGGCAAAUCCGGAAAAUCAAGGCUGAGGCGUGAUGACGAGGCACUACGGUGCUGAAGCAACAAAUGCCCUGCUUCCAGGAAAAGCCUCUAAGCAUCAGGUAACAUCAAAUCGUACCCCAAACCGACACAGGUGGUCAGGUAGAGAAUACCAAGGCGCUUGAGAGAACUCGGGUGAAGGAACUAGGCAAAAUGGUGCCGUAACUUCGGGAGAAGGCACGCUGAUAUGUAGGUGAAGUCCCUUGCGGAUGGAGCUGAAAUCAGUCGAAGAUACCAGCUGGCUGCAACUGUUUAUUAAAAACACAGCACUGUGCAAACACGAAAGUGGACGUAUACGGUGUGACGCCUGCCCGGUGCCGGAAGGUUAAUUGAUGGGGUCAGCGCAAGCGAAGCUCUUGAUCGAAGCCCCGGUAAACGGCGGCCGUAACUAUAACGGUCCUAAGGUAGCGAAAUUCCUUGUCGGGUAAGUUCCGACCUGCACGAAUGGCGUAAUGAUGGCCAGGCUGUCUCCACCCGAGACUCAGUGAAAUUGAACUCGCUGUGAAGAUGCAGUGUACCCGCGGCAAGACGGAAAGACCCCGUGAACCUUUACUAUAGCUUGACACUGAACAUUGAGCCUUGAUGUGUAGGAUAGGUGGGAGGCUUUGAAGUGUGGACGCCAGUCUGCAUGGAGCCGGCCUUGAAAUACCACCCUUUAAUGUUUGAUGUUCUAACGUGGACCCGUGAUCCGGGUUGCGGACAGUGUCUGGUGGGUAGUUUGACUGGGGCGGUCUCCUCCUAAAGAGUAACGGAGGAGCACGAAGGUUGGCUAAUCCUGGUCGGACAUCAGGAGGUUAGUGCAAUGGCAUAAGCCAGCUUGACUGCGAGCGUGACGGCGCGAGCAGGUGCGAAAGCAGGUCAUAGUGAUCCGGUGGUUCUGAAUGGAAGGGCCAUCGCUCAACGGAUAAAAGGUACUCCGGGGAUAACAGGCUGAUACCGCCCAAGAGUUCAUAUCGACGGCGGUGUUUGGCACCUCGAUGUCGGCUCAUCACAUCCUGGGGCUGAAGUAGGUCCCAAGGGUAUGGCUGUUCGCCAUUUAAAGUGGUACGCGAGCUGGGUUUAGAACGUCGUGAGACAGUUCGGUCCCUAUCUGCCGUGGGCGCUGGAGAACUGAGGGGGGCUGCUCCUAGUACGAGAGGACCGGAGUGGACGCAUCACUGGUGUUCGGGUUGUCAUGCCAAUGGCACUGCCCGGUAGCUAAAUGCGGAAGAGAUAAGUGCUGAAAGCAUCUAAGCACGAAACUUGCCCCGAGAUGAGUUCUCCCUGACCCUUUAAGGGUCCUGAAGGAACGUUGAAGACGACGACGUUGAUAGGCCGGGUGUGUAAGCGCAGCGAUGCGUUGAGCUAACCGGUACUAAUGAACCGUGAGGCUUAACCUUACAACG
rnacentral:rRNA from 1 species